rnacentral:rRNA from 1 species
GUGGAAGCGUCUGGAAAGGCGCGCGAUACAGGGUGACAGCCCCGUACACAAAAAUGCACAUAUUGUGAGCUCGAUGAGUAGGGCGGGACACGUGGUAUCCUGUCUGAAUAUGGGGGGACCAUCCUCCAAGGCUAAAUACUCCUGACUGACCGAUAGUGAACCAGUACCGUGAGGGAAAGGCGAAAAGAACCCCGGCGAGGGGAGUGAAAAAGAACCUGAAACCGUGUACGUACAAGCAGUGGGAGCCUCUUUAUGGGGUGACUGCGUACCUUUUGUAUAAUGGGUCAGCGACUUAUAUUCUGUAGCAAGGUUAACCGAAUAGGGGAGCCGAAGGGAAACCGAGUCUUAACUGGGCGUUAAGUUGCAGGGUAUAGACCCGAAACCCGGUGAUCUAGCCAUGGGCAGGUUGAAGGUUGGGUAACACUAACUGGAGGACCGAACCGACUAAUGUUGAAAAAUUAGCGGAUGACUUGUGGCUGGGGGUGAAAGGCCAAUCAAACCGGGAGAUAGCUGGUUCUCCCCGAAAGCUAUUUAGGUAGCGCCUCGUGAAUUCAUCUCCGGGGGUAGAGCACUGUUUCGGCAAGGGGGUCAUCCCGACUUACCAACCCGAUGCAAACUGCGAAUACCGGAGAAUGUUAUCACGGGAGACACACGGCGGGUGCUAACGUCCGUCGUGAAGAGGGAAACAACCCAGACCGCCAGCUAAGGUCCCAAAGUCAUGGUUAAGUGGGAAACGAUGUGGGAAGGCCCAGACAGCCAGGAUGUUGGCUUAGAAGCAGCCAUCAUUUAAAGAAAGCGUAAUAGCUCACUGGUCGAGUCGGCCUGCGCGGAAGAUGUAACGGGGCUAAACCAUGCACCGAAGCUGCGGCAGCGACACUAUGUGUUGUUGGGUAGGGGAGCGUUCUGUAAGCCUGUGAAGGUGGCCUGUGAGGGUUGCUGGAGGUAUCAGAAGUGCGAAUGCUGACAUAAGUAACGAUAAAGCGGGUGAAAAGCCCGCUCGCCGGAAGACCAAGGGUUCCUGUCCAACGUUAAUCGGGGCAGGGUGAGUCGACCCCUAAGGCGAGGCCGAAAGGCGUAGUCGAUGGGAAACAGGUUAAUAUUCCUGUACUUGGUGUUACUGCGAAGGGGGGACGGAGAAGGCUAUGUUGGCCGGGCGACGGUUGUCCCGGUUUAAGCGUGUAGGCUGGUUUUCCAGGCAAAUCCGGAAAACCAAGGCUGAGGCGUGAUGACGAGGCACUACGGUGCUGAAGCGACAAAUGCCCUGCUUCCAGGAAAAGCCUCUAAGCAUCAGGUAACAUCAAAUCGUACCCCAAACCGACACAGGUGGUCAGGUAGAGAAUACCAAGGCGCUUGAGAGAACUCGGGUGAAGGAACUAGGCAAAAUGGUGCCGUAACUUCGGGAGAAGGCACGCUGAUAUGUAGGUGAAGCGACUUGCUCGUGGAGCUGAAAUCAGUCGAAGAUACCAGCUGGCUGCAACUGUUUAUUAAAAACACAGCACUGUGCAAACACGAAAGUGGACGUAUACGGUGUGACGCCUGCCCGGUGCCGGAAGGUUAAUUGAUGGGGUUAGCGGUAACGCGAAGCUCUUGAUCGAAGCCCCGGUAAACGGCGGCCGUAACUAUAACGGUCCUAAGGUAGCGAAAUUCCUUGUCGGGUAAGUUCCGACCUGCACGAAUGGCGUAAUGAUGGCCAGGCUGUCUCCACCCGAGACUCAGUGAAAUUGAACUCGCUGUGAAGAUGCAGUGUACCCGCGGCAAGACGGAAAGACCCCGUGAACCUUUACUAUAGCUUGACACUGAACAUUGAGCCUUGAUGUGUAGGAUAGGUGGGAGGCUUUGAAGUGUGGACGCCAGUCUGCAUGGAGCCGACCUUGAAAUACCACCCUUUAAUGUUUGAUGUUCUAACGUUGGCCCGUAAUCCGGGUUGCGGACAGUGUCUGGUGGGUAGUUUGACUGGGGCGGUCUCCUCCUAAAGAGUAACGGAGGAGCACGAAGGUUGGCUAAUCCUGGUCGGACAUCAGGAGGUUAGUGCAAUGGCAUAAGCCAGCUUGACUGCGAGCGUGACGGCGCGAGCAGGUGCGAAAGCAGGUCAUAGUGAUCCGGUGGUUCUGAAUGGAAGGGCCAUCGCUCAACGGAUAAAAGGUACUCCGGGGAUAACAGGCUGAUACCGCCCAAGAGUUCAUAUCGACGGCGGUGUUUGGCACCUCGAUGUCGGCUCAUCACAUCCUGGGGCUGAAGUAGGUCCCAAGGGUAUGGCUGUUCGCCAUUUAAAGUGGUACGCGAGCUGGGUUUAGAACGUCGUGAGACAGUUCGGUCCCUAUCUGCCGUGGGCGCUGGAGAACUGAGGGGGGCUGCUCCUAGUACGAGAGGACCGGAGUGGACGCAUCACUGGUGUUCGGGUUGUCAUGCCAAUGGCACUGCCCGGUAGCUAAAUGCGGAAGAGAUAAGUGCUGAAAGCAUCUAAGCACGAAACUUGCCCCGAGAUGAGUUCUCCCUGACUCCUUGAGAGUCCUGAAGGAACGUUGAAGACGACGACGUUGAUAGGCCGGGUGUGUAAGCGCAGCGAUGCGUUGAGCUAACCGGUACUAAUGAACCGUGAGGCUUAACCUU